UAUGAUGCCUUUUAGUGCUCUUUUCCUUUAAGUAUUUAGAGUCAUUAUCCAUAUUGUCCUGGUUCUACUGGUUCUGCUUGCUUUGGUCUGAAGUGAUUCAUGUAAAUCUUCCCAAAUUUUUCUGAAUUAUUAUUUGCCUUUUCUUAGUGCAUAAUAAUACUCUAGUAUAUGUACCAUAAUUUUCUAAACCAUUCUUCCAAUUGCUGGACACCCACCUUAUUUCCAAUUUAUCCUGGCACCAAAGAAAGUACUGCUAAGAAGAUUCUGGUCUACAGGGGAUCUUUCCUUUCUAUUUCUGACCUUUUGGGGGUAUAUACUCAGGCAUAGUAUCUUUGAGUCAAUGGGUAUUAAUACUUUAGUGAUUUUUUUCUAGAAUAGAUCUAAAUCAUUUCCCAGAAAGUUCACCCAAAUUCACAGAGACACAAACAAUUAAUGUGUAAUUCUUUGCCCACAGUUUCAUUAAAUACUGGCUUUCUAUUUUCAGUUAUCAGCUGGUUUAUAGAGUAUGAAGUAAAAGCUCAGAGAUUUACAAAUUUGCAUUUCUCUUAAUUUUAGUGUGCUGGAACAUCUUUUUCUAUAAUUAGACAAUUACUUUUCCUAGAUAAUCUUUCCUUCAUUGAUAUCUGUUAUACUCUUGGCUCCCCAAGUAUUUGACACAAGUAUAUGGUUUUGUGAGUUGCUACUGCCAGAAAAAAAUGCCUGGUGAUGAGUCUUUGCAAAUUGUGUUAAUUUUGUCCUCAGAUGGAUAAGGAUUAGAACUGUGAUUUCAUUGGUUUAGGAAACUCUAUGGUGAGGAUUUUUCUUCCACUAAUGCCAAUCUGUAUUUUCUCUUACUUAUAUUCUCAAUUUCCCAGAACACUGAGUGAUUUUUGUCCAGAGUCACACAGACAAGGUAUGUCAGAAGUAAGACAUUGAUAGAGGUCAUCCUGACUUUGAGACCAACUCUCUAGCCACUUUUUUAGUCCUCCAACACAUAAUCUGGAUAUAUUCCUGAAGCUGUAAAAAAGCUUACACUCUGUUAGGACAGUAAGAUAUAUAUACAAAAAUAAUUAAGAAGGUGGAUUGUGGUAAGACUGAAAGAAACAGUCAGUUGUCAAAUCAUUGUUAACCUACCUCCGACUUUUGUAGCCGUGUCGCCUUCUCUAAUCAUAUUCUUUCUAGGUUACUUGAAGCCACCAUCACUUGUUUUCUUAACUUUUUAAAUAACUUCCAAAUAGAUCUCUUUGCUUCCACUCUCUCAACUCUCUGUCUCAUCCUUUACAUAGUUACCAAAAUAGUCUUCUAAUGCAUAGGUCCCAUCAUGUCAUCUCUCUGCCCCAAAGCCUUCACAGAAACCAGUCUCCAAACUUCCUUUCCAGUCAUUUCACAUUACUAUCUUUUGUUAACCUUAUAUUCCAACUAGACUGACUUUUAGUAUUUUCUAUGGUAAGAUAAUAGUCUAUGCCAUUUUUAGGAGUAACGACAUGGAUGAAAUCCCAGAUUUUUUGGAGUUUGAGUGUUGGUAUUUUAAAUGAAAAAGUCUUGAUGAGAUAGUCAUUUAAGACUGUGAAUCUUAAAGAGAUUCACCUAUAAUCACGCCAGAAGAAAUUAAUUCAGUGACAUGACAACACCUUCAUAAAUUUUAGUGUCUCUCUGCUCCCUUUUGUAGAUUUCAUCAUCACAACCUGAAGAAUUCAAGAGUUCUACAAGAAUAAGAAAAUAGCUGGGAAGGAAAUUUGGGAGAAAAAUGAAACUCAUUACCCAAAUGCAAGAUUCUUUUAAAAUUAAUUAUUGGCAUCAUUGUUGAAUGGAAGAGGGGAAAAUUCUCCUUAUUGGUCAGGAUGUGACAGGAGAAAAUCCAGACACAUAUCCAAGAGAUAAUUUCUUUGCUGGAGUGCUGACUAUGUUUACAGAAGCAAAUGUCAAGGCAAACCACAUUCAGUCUGAUUGGAAUUAUGCAUAAUUUCAGCACUAUCAUCAUGGGUGAAACAAAAUGGAAGAGUGAUUCCCAACAUGAUUAUGCUUUGCAAUCUAGUAGAUGAAGAAAAGCCAAUGAAACAAAACAACAAAAUUCUAUGAGGCUACUAGAUUUUUGAGAAGAGAAUGACAACAAAAUGUGGGUAUUAUUUGGAAAGAAGAAAGAUCCCUGAAAGACACAUCUAAAAAGGCAACCAUCUUAAACGAAAUUCUGAUGACUUUGAGUGCAUUUUUCUUCAUACUCUUGUAAUUGUUACAUAUUAUCUUUAUUCUGCUUUUUAAAAAAACGGCAUCAUUGCAUAUAUCUUCAUAAUUUUCUGUGAAUCCCUCACAGUCAGACCAACUCACAUUCAGUGGAAAUGGAGUCAUGAAUAACUCCAAGAGUAUCUCUGAGUGAAAAAAAUGGAAGAAUGAUCUCAACGUGAAUACAUUCUUCAUUCUGGUGGACAGAGAAAAACAAAGAAUUCAGAACAUAAUGGGGGAACUUAAUUUUUGAAAAUGGAAUGAGAACAUAAUGUAUACAUUAGUUGGAAGAAAAAACACAGUGAAAUGAUUUCCUAUCUUGUCCUUCUUUUGAAGUAGCCAAUAUAAGCAUUAUUACAGCCCUUUUUUAAAGAUGAAGAUACUGAGUGUCUCAGAUUAAGUGGCUUGCUCUUAUUCAUGGAGUCUAAGGCAGAGUUCAGGCUAGAACCCAACCCUUAAUCCACGUCGAAUGCUCUUUUUUCAUACAUUAAAUAGUUUCAUUUAUUCCAAAUUCUUCAAGGAUCUUUGAUUUUGUUGUUUUGGAUACUGCCUCCACUAACACAGAUUGCACAUCCUUUAUGACUUAGCUGGUAGUCUAAAAAAUGAGCGUGGUUGAACUUGCUGACCUUGACGAUCUCUUUCAUCUUUAAAUCUACGUUUUUAUGAUAUUUUGGCUAGAGUGGCCAUUGAGGGAAAAGUUAUACGAUCCAUCACCCAGUCCCAUAGUUGAAGCCAUUCUUAUUUGUUAGGGUCUACCUCAAUUUGUACCCAUUUGGGUACCCAUAUGUCAAGAUGGGGCAAUGAAACAUGAUGUGAAUAGAAUGUCUUCUCUCAUUUUGUUAACAUGUUCUAAUGGAUGAGACAUGGGAAAUCAGCCCAGCUUUGGGUUUGGGUUUUUUAUUUCCAUGGCCACAUAGAGUUUACAAAUUUUGGUCCGAGAAUCAACAUUUUAAAUAGAAAUUCAUUUAUUAGAAUGAUUUCUUCCACAGCAAGAGAGGCACCAGGCAAUUUGAAAGUUGGGGCCUGUCUCAGAAUAGGCUUGCUGGAGAGCAUAGGAAGAAUGUGGCCCUUGCUUCCCAGUUUUCCCUAAGGCUGCUUUUUGUGAGACCACUCACUACAUCAUUAGCUACAAAAAAACUUUUAGAGAUGAUGAGAUAGCCGAGAGGCUAAAUCAAUUCCUUCCUUCAGCCUUUAUUAAGAAAGCAGUUAAGGAGAUUCCCUCUCCCAAAAUGGUUUUAGAAACUUGAAGGUCAAAUGCAUUAGAACAAAUAGGGAUGAAGGCACAGCAUGUUCUAGACCUAAUUGACAAGCCUGAUGUAAAUAAAUCACUGAUCCUAAGCGGCUUUUGGCCAAGAGUUCUGAAGGACCAUAAGGUGAAAUUAUGGAACCAUUAGCCAAAUGUUCAAGAUGCUCAAGAUGUUCAAAUGCUCAAGAUGAUGCUAGAAUGUGCCAAGUAACUGGGGGCAGGUAACAAAGUCCAUCCUGUGCCUUCCAUAGAGAUCAUGGCUUUGUCAUCCAUCUGCUUGUCACAUCUAUUCUGGCUUUUCAUCUUCAUUACUUUUCUUGGGCCAUAGCAGAAGAACUCAAAUGGCCCCAGAGCAUUAGUAUAAGCUGACUCGUGUAGAAUUGCAAGCAUCUACGUAUAGUCAAGACUUAAAAAACCUAAGUGCUCACUAAAAAGACAACAUAAAAGAAUGCUGGACUUGGACUCAGGUUCAAAUUCUAUAUCUGUCACUAAUUAUAGGCAGAUUGCAUGGUGGAUAGUGUGCUGGAACUGGAUGCCAGGAAGUCCUGAGUUCAACUUCAUCCUCAGACACUUACUAGCUGUAUGACCCUGGGCAAGUCACUUAACCUUUGAUUCAGUUUCCUCAUCUCUAAAAUGGGGAUAAAGAAUUAUUGUGAGUACGGAAUAUUGAAGUGUUUUUUUUUCUGCAAACCUCAAAACUCUGUAGAAUGCUGGUUACUAUUAAUGUUGUUAUUAUUAUGAUUCUUAAUUGUGUGAACAUCUCCAUGUCACUUAUUUUGGGUGUUUAUUGGACCUGAGUUCAAAUUUGAUCUUAGACAUAGCUUUGUGACCUUGGACAAGUCACUUAACUGAAGAUGUGUGUAAUAAUAGUCCUGACCUCACAAGACUGUUGUGAGGCUCCAAUGGGAUGAUAUCGGUAAAAGCACUUAGUACAGUGCCUGGCACAUAGUAGACACUCUAUAAAUACACAUUCCCUUCCCUUCCUUUCCUUCCUACAUUGUGGUGCCUAGAAAUGAACUGAUGCAAUAGGAGUAUAGACUCCUACCACUUCAUUCCUGGAAGCUAUGCCUCUCUUAAAAGCCCAGGAAUGAGUUCCAUUUUUUUUGGUUGCCAAAUAAGACUCUAUAGACUCACCAUGGACUUUCACUUUUCACUUUGCUAAAAGUCUCAGAUGUUUUUUUUUCAGAUAAACUGUUGUCUAAGUAUGCUUCUUCCAUCUUGUGCUUAUACUUAUGAUUUUUUGAACCAAACUGUGAGUCUUUACAUUUAAUUCCCAUUAAGUUUCAUCAUACCAGAGGGAAACUAGAUAAUUCAGUGGAUUGAGAUCCAGGUCUUCAGCUGAGAGGUCCUGGGUUCAAAACUAGCCUCAGACAUUUCCUAGCUGUGUGAUCCUGGGCAAGUCACUUAAACUUGAUUGCCUAGCCUUGUCUUUCUGUUCUAGAGUUGAUACUAAGACAGAAAGUAAAAAGUAAAAGUUAAAAGUGUGGUCUUAGUGGAUUUACUUCAGUAUUGUAGUCUUCAGAGGUUUGGAAUCCAAAGGAGAAAAAAAAACAUUUUGGGAAAAUCUAUGAGAAAAUAGAUAAACAGGGUUUAAAAAAAUUACUCUUUUCCGAUAUUGUUAAUAUCAACUGAAUCAUACAAUGAUCGUGUUUCUCAUAAAACUGGUUUAGGAACAGAACUGAUAUCUUCUGUAGUAGUAAACCAAGUCAUUUCAAAUUUUCAUUUUAUUUGCUGUCUAAUUUUCAUGCACAUGGCAUAACAAUAAAGCCACAGGGGAAUCUUUGAAA